GGCACCAUAGCUUAGGAGGUUAAAGCAUCUGCCUUGUAAGCAGGAGAUCCUGGGUUCGAAUCCCAGUGGUGCCU